UCAAGAAAAUGUCGAAAAGACGAAGAAGAAGAAGAAGAUGUUCUUGUGGUAGCUGGUUGCAAAGCUUGUUUCAUGUAUUACAUGGUACCUAAACUCUUGAAGGAUUGCCCCAAAUGUGCUACUCAGCUUCUCCACUUUGAUCAACCUCACUCUGCUUCUCCACUUUGAUCAACCUCACUCAGCUUCUCCUUGAACCUCUCUUCUAUUCUCAUUUUCAUUUUUUUUCACUUUGUCUUCUCUCUUUUUUUUCUUCUUCUAUAAAAGAGUGGUCG
rnacentral:lncRNA from 1 species